rnacentral:rRNA from 1 species
UGGAUGGCGAGUUUGAUCCUGGCUCAGGAUAAACGCUGGCGGCGUGCCUAACACAUGCAAGUCGUACGCCCUUCGCAAGAAGGGAGUGGCGGACGGGUGAG